UUUAUAUUUUAGGGAUCCAAAUAAACAACAUUACUUGGAUUACAGCGAAAGAAGUAACCGCAAUAGUUGUACCAUCUGUUAUUAUUUUAACAGUCGCAAUUGUUUUCACUACUGUGUUUUAUUUGAGAAUAAAGCUGUUUAUUCUUUCACGUAUACCUUACUGGCAUUUGAUAGACAAAGGUGAUAGACAAUACCAUGUUUUUAUUCUCCAUGAAGAUGAGGAUACAGAGCUUGCAAGAAGAAUUCAACAAAGACUUCAAUCAGACGCUUAUACGGUCAAAAUAUCUGGUAGCAUGACAGGUGGAACUGAUAUGAUGCAGCAAGCACAAGAAUUUGCACAAGAUAGUAAGAGUUUGAUCAUUAUUUACCCUUCGGAAUAUUCAAAAGAUAGUCAGAAUAACAACUUCCAAAGUUUAAUGGGGGUCAGACAAUACUACAUUCCGAAUCUCGUAACAGUUGUUGAAGAAGAUGGGAGAACCGGAGACAAAGUGGAGGUUAUAGACUCUGACAAAACAUUGGUGAGAAUCAAAUACCCACCUAAUCAAAAUUGUAGUACAUAUCAACAUGCAAAUUUUUACUGUAAAAUUAAUCUUCGGAUGGCCAGGAGGACAGGAGAUAAUGUUUGUUGUACAAAAAGUAAUGGACAAACUCAACGAGGUGAUGAAGAUACAGAAUUACUCAAUGUACAACAUAAUUUAUCAAACAGCGAACAAGAAUCAUCUGCAAAUGUAUCGUCAAUUUGUAGAAACCAAAUAGUAUAGAUUUCGAGGAGAUUGAGUAGACAUUAGCAAAAUCCCUCAAAUAUAAAUGGUACAGCAUAUAUAGCGUUUCCUUAUUUUGUUAGCAUGUGCAUCAAUUUAUAGUUCACCUCAAAUAUGUUAGAGGGACUAUUGAAGUACCCAUGCCUCAAUGUCAACAUGUUAGCCGUUAGUCAGUUCUCAUAUAUAAAAAACAGUAGAUUGUCAUAAAAUUUUGAAAAAUGUUCAUAUUAUGCAUAUGUUAAUUUGCUUGUCGCAGAUC